rnacentral:lncRNA from 1 species
CCGAACUCAUGUGACCAGAAACAAAAAUAUUCAAAUAAUUUAUCUUAUUAAAAUGCAAUGCUUUAGAAUAUUUCCAUUGAUAGAGAUUCAAAGAAGCAGACAAAGACUAGUGGGCGAUAGAUACAAGUUACCUUACUCAACUACGACCUAAAAUGUAUCCUUUUCUAUGCUUUGUUUUAUUUGGUUCAAAAAAUGUAUCCUUCUCAAACUAAAUAAAUAAGUCGCCGGUCAUCAUCACAGCAAGGUGAAGGAAUCUUUUCUUUUGUAUGGUACGUGUGGAACGGAUCUUUUCUCUGGAACUCCCCAAAAUGAAUUACUGUUGGCCCAGUACGCUAUUCCCACUAUAAAAUCAAUUAUUGAUGUUCAUUAUGUCAUGUAUUACGUCAGCCAAACAAUUCCAAACUUUCUAUUUUUCUAACAAUCGAUAUUCUCUACGUUAAGAGGAGGGAGGAUUGAUCUCAUAAUAGUCUAGCAAUAAUGUUGUUUAAAUUCGUAAUUUUAAACUUUUUAUAUAGUAAUUUUAACCUUUUAUUAUAUUAUACUAAAAUAAUAGACACACCAUAUUUCUAUCAUAUGGGUGUAAUCUUUAAUUGAUUAUAAAGUUGUACUAAAUUUUCGCAGGAAGAAGAUUAAUUUUUUAUUUUUUUACAAACGAUAGCGUAGUAUUAAAAUGUUAAUUGUUAAGGGGCGAGAGAGUUGGUGUAGAUCGAAUAUAUACCAUAAUGCAUAUGUAUCAUUGUUUCCGUUACUGCUAUUAAACUUGACAAAACCUAAAACUGCAUUCUAUCACCUUUAAAACUGCAUUCUAUCACCUCUCAGACCAUGUUCAACCCUUAAUUCAAAAUUGGGGCUUUUAGAUCUAGAUCCAGAAACAUAAAUUGUUUAUAGGACUGAGUUUAAUUAUAUAAUUACAAAUUUUUUUUUCUUUUAUGAUCAUUUUAUAUUUUCUAAAAUAUUAAAAAUCAGUUAAAAUCUUCUAAAAUCAUGCCUUUUCCAACAAUAUAAGAUCUAAUUAAUAUCUUAUUAAAAAAAACUAAUAUACUAACAUAAAUUUAUCUGCAAAACAUUAUACCCUAACUCAAGUAACAAAUAUACGAAUGUAUAUUAUACCUAUAAGCGAGAUAUGAAAUGUAACUAAAAGGUAAAAAAAACAUAAUAUACAUACAAGUAAGACACAAUAAUCUGUAAUAGGUUGAUUAUAAUAAACAAUCUGUCAUGUAAGUAAAUAAAUACCAUGAACUUGUCAUAUAGGUUGAUUAUAAGAAUUCAAAAUAAAAUCUAUAAUGGGGUUUAGAGUAGGAAGAAGAACAAGAAAUAACAAAAAAUAUUAAAAAAUAAUAAUUAAAUAGAUAAUUACGAAGAAAUUUGAUUUUUAUAUUAAAUUUAUCAUUGAAAAGCUAAUUAUUGGUAAUAAAAUAAUUAAAUUUAAGAAAUUAGACAUUUUAAUAAACUGACCUAUUCCUACAUUGGUUCAAAAAAUUGAACUUUAUCCAACCAAGUCAUUUGAAACCAUUGGGCCAAAAUAAUCCAUGGGGAAAAAUAAAUGUUUGCGCUAGAUUUCAUUCAAGAAUUAAGCCUGGCUUCAUUUUCUUGGGCCCGCCAUGCAUGUCGACACGCUGGGAAAAAAAAGCCCAUCAAGUUUGAAGCGUUGCACGCGACAAAGCUGACAGUCGUUGGGACCCAGCGCUGCAGAUUUGUCGG